rnacentral:lncRNA from 1 species
UUGAAAUAUAAGGGUAAAAAUUUUAUAUAUAUAAACUCCUCUCCUUUGGAGCAAUUACAUCAAUAUACAAGCCUUAAAAUCCAAAGAACACCAAAAUACUUGAUAAGGUGUUACAAAAAACUUAUAUAUCCUUAUGAGGAAUUUUUUCCGAAGUUCAACAGCUCAUAACUUACGAUCUAACCGUCUAAACAACUCCAAAUUUUACAUGAAGUACUGAUAUAUCUUUAGCAACUACCACACCAAAAUUCAACCGUAAAUUCAUCUUAGAUCUUGUGAUAUCUUGAAAACCCUAACUGUAGCUUCAAACCCUAGCUUUUUUACACCCGUGUACAACUUCCUUCAUAUCUCACAAAGUAAUUAUUCAAAUAAUAUGAAACUUUGAUCUAAAGCUUUUUAACCCAAUUACACACACUUAUGGAAAUUUUGAGCCAAAAAUUCGUCCAGAAACUCAAGAUAUGGCUUCACCCAUAACUAGCAACAAAACGAUAUACUUACUGCCUUCAAAUUACAAGUGCUGUCUUCAACGCCUCAUAACUCCUUCACCCAAUCUUAGAAUUCAUUAUACAGUCAGUAGAAUGUGUAGCCGAGAAAAUGCUCCCUCCAAAUCCAGUCGCCGAUCUUCCGUUGCUCUCCGUAUUCGUAUGUGAUGCCCAAAAGAAGUGACAGUAGGUACGAAAUUGACACCUUAUCUUUGAACAUUCAUAUCUUUUCCAUAAAAACUCGAAAUCACACAAAAUCUUCACCCAAAUUAUACCCAAAACCCUAAACCUUCUGACCCUAGCCUCAAAAGCUCGAAUGGCUUCUAAAGAGGAAC